AACGAACGCUGGCGGCAGGCCUAACACAUGCAAGUCGAACGCGCGUAGCAAUACGCGAGUGGCGCACGGGUGAGUAACACGUGGGAACCAACCCAGAGGUUCGGAAUAACCGCGGGAAACUGCGGCUAAUACCGGAUACUCCCCCGAAGGGGGAAAGAUUUAUCGCCUCUGGACGGGCCCGCGUCCGAUUAGCUGGUUGGUGAGGUAAUGGCUCACCAAGGCGACGAUCGGUAGCUGGUCNGAGAGGACGACCAGCCAACA
rnacentral:rRNA from 1 species